GGCCGCGAAAGGACGCCGUCAGAGCGCGGGGCUAGCGCGGGCGUUCGCCGUUACUUCAGCCAUCGGGACUUGGAACUUCCAUUUUACUGCAGAUACUUUUAAAGAAGAAAGAUUCUAAAAUUAUGGACUACUUGCAGGUAAUAAUGGGUUAAGUCUUCACAUCUGCCUGUGAUGAACACUGUGUUUAUGUGCUGUUUAAUGUUAUUUUUCUUCUGUCAGAUCAAAAGAUGCCUUUCUUAGGGGGAAAGAGUGAAACAGGACAGCCCUGAAUGUCAGCUUUCUCUCCAAAAAUGAAAAAAAAAAAAAAAAAAGCAGCAGUAAGAUAAUCUUGAUUAAAGCUGACUAUGAAUAGGAACUUUGAGAAAUUUUGUCAAGAACUGCAUGAGUACUUGAUUAAUCACACAUACAUUUAUCUGUAGGCUAUGCUACAGGAAACAGGCAUGGUGAAUUACAGGGAAAGUCAAUUUUCAUCUCUUUCAAAGUGAUGUUUCCUGCCACAGCGAGGCAAAUCUCCUGCAGUAACUUUGCCAUUUAUACUGAAAUCCUGCUUUGCUGUCAGAUGAGCUGAGGGUAUUCUUAGCCAGUUAAUGUGAAUGUCAGUAUAAUGCAGCUGCUCUACAGUGCCUUACAUUAUAAAAGUAGGACAGACUAGAAUUAUUAGAAGUCACCAGGUUAUUUGUAAAUCAGAGCAGUGCUGGUUGGUACUUGUCAGUAGAUAGUUCUGACUCUUUUUUCUAUCCCAGAGACUACUAAAAAAAAGUCGUUUCAGAUUCUGAAUGGCCAGGUAAGCUAUAUCUCCACAUUAUCUGGAUUAGAUAUGUCUGGAAUAGUGAAAGUAAGAUUUCUUUGUUAAAUUUAAGUUACUUAAAAAAUUUGUCUAGUAUUUAAAAUAAAAAUGGCAAGUUCACUUUAACCAGAACAGUUCUUUAUUAUAAAAUAAAAAUAUAAAAAAUUGAUGAUCAAAUGCAUAUUCUGUGCCUUGCUUUUGCUCUUUUAGAGUACAUCUACAAAUGUGAGUUGCAAGAAGUAGUAAAGGAUUGGGAUAGUAGAAGAGAUUUCUCAUCUUCUUUCUUUUCCAGGGCAUAGCUGUUCUUUCUAAUGAGUUACCUAAGAUUAUAUUUCCUCAGAUCAUUUGGUCAAAAUGAGGUAUCUGUCCCUUACCCAUAGUUCUGUGGAACUUUUUCAACUUUCUUUGUCUGAUAGAAAUGCAGUUUUGAGUUUAUGCCAAAUAUAACCAGAAUGAUUUGGCUCCAUUCUCCUUACUUGUCUAAGAUGGAAUAUUACAGUGGUCUGUUAUUUUCACUAGGAACCUCUGCAUCCACAUCCCUGUUCUGUUCUUUAAUUUGCAUGUUAUUCCCAUCUUCACUGACUUCCCUGCAUGUCAAUGCUUUUUUAGGACUAUGGGUCAUUACAGGUCAUAUGAGAAGCAUUUCCAACCCCACUUUGCAUUUUCAUGGAGUUCAUUCAUGAAAAAUAAUACUGACUCACCUGGUAUUCAGAAUGUUUUUCUAAAUUGCUUUCUGCUCAUCUUUUGUGAGUUUUGGAGCUAAAACUAUAAACUUGCUGUUUAAAAGACAUAAUUACUACAAUGGUCAGUGUCAACCAGACUUCUUCUUUGGCCAUAAAUGUACAGCUCUAUGGUAUAUCAGUAUAAAAUAUAUAUUCAAAGUUUAUUACUUUACCCACAUAAUUAGGAUGUUCAGCUACAAAUCUGUAUUUUCAUGGUCAAAUAGUCCAGGUUUUAACAAAAGUACCAGCUGUGUCUGACCAUACUCACCAGCAUUAAUGUUAGUUUUAUAAGAUAUCCUCUAAGUUGUGAAGUGAGAAGACAGAUAGACUGGUAAAAAGUAUAAAUAUGUAAAUAAUUGUCUUAAAGUGAUCAUUAGGAAGAAAAAUCCAGAAAUUAUCACACACAAAAUAUAGAAUCUUUCUUGUAAACAUUAAUGCUAACAGUACAAAGACAGCUUAGUUACUGCUCUACUAACAGCAUCUGGGAAUGCUGCAAGGACAUUAGGUAUUCAGCUAGUGUUUCUAAGUGUGUACUAUUAGCAUCUCAAACAAGACACUUACAGAGAGUGUAAUUGGAUAGCUGAUGAAUUGAGAAUGCUCCUUCACAAUUCUUUUGAUUUGCCUUUCUUCCAAAUCUUGUCUUUGGUCUUCUUUAGGAUUUAAGAUAAUCUCUGUUAUGCAGCAGAGAGGUAACCCCUGAAUGAAAUCUGAAAGUUUUAGUAGGCACAGGUGGCCAAACAGUAAAUUCUUUCUGAAAUUAAGGAUCAAGAUUCUCUUGCUAUGAAAUCUAUGAGAGUAUCCCUGAGAAUGAUGAACUGAUGCUGUAUACCUAUUCUGUGAUGCAAUAAACGUAACAACUGCAGAUAGUACAGCAUUUCACUUUCCCUCAAUUUUCAGAAUCCUAUGAAGUGCAGCAGCAUACAGCAACACGCGCACGACAAAAAUGAUUUGAUAUGGCAGAAGUUCAUUAAGCUUGACCUUUCUCUUCAGAUGGUAGACUUAGUAAAACUGAAAUGCAGCAGUGUUGUAAUGUGUGAUUCUAUCUUUAUUCUUUUGCUAUACGAAUUUCAGUCAGUGGUUGUUACCCAGCAAAAUUUGCUGCUAAAGUUAGAACUGCUGUUCUGUUGUGCACCUGUGCUCCCGCUGCUGUUUUGCAACAAACUUGACAUUAAUGAGCUACGAGAUGGAGAACAAUGAAUUCAGUUCACAAUCGUUUAUCAUUAUUAACAAUGACAGCAAGAGAGCCUUGCACUGAAGGUGAUAUACAUACUGCCUAUCAUUUUGCUUUGUGACCCCAGCACAUUUGUAGUCAGGAAGGCAGAGAAGAAUUGAAGCUCAAACAGAGCAGUCCCGGAGCUAUCAGCACAAUAAAUGUUUCUACGAAAGCUUUAGUGCCAGCAUUCACAGCAGUAAUGGAGUGGGCUUGAAUUGUCCUGUGCCUGACUACAUGGUGGUGAGAAUACAGUUGUGCUCACCGAGUGCCCAGGACCCAGCUAGUCUAGAUCAAUAAGGGCCACCAGUCUGAUUUGGUUCAGAAACCACAACAAAAUCAGGUUUGAGCUUUCUCAGGCUAUACGUAGGAAUUCAGCUGUAUUUUACCAGCUGAGUCACAAUAAUAUCUCAAUUAAAUACAUCCAAUACAUUGCAAAAUGGCUCCCCCAAAAAGCUUCCUUUUUGAAGCAGAAAGUGUUGAUGAGCAUCUACUGGAAGGCAAAAGUCUUUCUCUUUUCAUCCACUGGCUGAUCUUGAGUUUGUGCAGGUUCAGUGCUAAUAGGGUAAACAGGACUGAAAACUCACUGUGUGUAUAUACAUACAAACUUGACUGUGGCGUACAACUUCUUAAAUUGACUGGAAAAAUACAAAUAAUUUUGGAUGUAUGUUUUGAGAGUGAAAGAAGAGCAUAAUUGUUGUUACAGAUGUAUUGUUAAUACUUUAUAUUUUGGACAUGAAUUCUCUGAUUUCUAAUUUCUUGCUUAAGGUAAAGGCAGCAUAAAAUGAAUAAUUGUUUAAUCAGGAGGAAUUUAGCAAGCUUUUUUAUGUAGUCAGGUUAUGUCAUAAAGCAAGAAAAGUAAUCAUGUGAUUUGGCUUAUUACCACUAAUUAAUUUCCAUUUCCAUUUUGGGACAUUACAGAGUUUAAGUUUUACAGUUACUGCAGAAAAACAGACACUGGAGAUUCUUCUCAGUCUCCUUUAGCAGAAACAUUACCUGUAUUGGAAUGCUCUGAUGUAAUUGAACUUAAUGAACGCGUCAGAUUUUGGGGGAGAAUAAGAAGUACUGGCCUAGCUGCUAUAAUGAAUAUUCCAUUCAAGUUAGAAUAAGACUGCAAGGAAACAUUUUCCUGAAGGGAUAUGCCACACAGUAAAAUCCCUCCUGUUUAAAGAUAACUACCUCUGAAAGUGUCUAAAUGUGUAGAUUUCCCCUUUAGGAUGUGUUUAUGUUUAAUGUUCCUAUUUAAGGUAUAUUUAAAGUCUCCUUUAUUCACCUUUUUUGAACAAAGUUUGUGAGAGACUUACAUCUCACCAGUAGCGAGUGCUAUUUUGUCCACAGUUCUCUCCAGCCACAGCUGUGAGAAGACAAGAAAUGGAACACGUUAUGGUUUAGGCUAUCUGGAAUGAUUUUGAAUAUUAUGAUAAGAUUAUGUUUGAAUUUUCCAAGGGAAUUAAUGGAAAGAAACCUACUGUAGUCACAUUUCAACUUGCCUUAUCAGAGAAACUAAUCUUCACCAGCCAGGUCUGGCAGUAAAAGAUUGACUGUUAUCACUCAUUUUUCUGCAGUCUACUCUAUGCAAAUAACCUUCAAGUCACACUUUUAAAUAAGUCCAUCACUUGCUUGAGACAUGCAGUGGGAGAGGGAGUGUAAAGAGAAACUGAAUAAGACUUACUAAGCAUGGAGCAAGUCAGACUUCCAGUUGGACAAGUACUUAGCAUGCAUUUGUCUGAUACACUGUAUAUCAAAGGCUGACUGGGUUUUCUAACCCAUGUGUUAGAAGCAAGCAGCCUCCUCAUUUGUUAUCUAGAAACAAACAUCCUGAUUCUGCACUUCAAAACAACUUUUAUGCCUACAGCAGGUAUGUAAAAGGCUACGUACUAAAAAUAAUGUUGACUUACAUCAGUCUUGCAUAAAUAUAUAUAGUUCUGUAAAAGCUAACCUUACAGAAUCACAGGAUAGUUAAGGACGGAAAGAACUGUGUUGGAGGUCAUCUCAUCCCACCUCCCUGCUCAGGGAGGAUCACUGAGACCAGGCUGCCCAGGACCACAGCAGCUCCUCUGAAAGGAACCCACUGAUGGCUGUCAUUCCUUCUCAGUUACACAAAGUGGAUCACAACUGUGUCCAAGAAAUAUACUUAAAACUAAACCUUCUGCUGCAGCACUGGAGAUAGAUGAACAGACUCUGCUUUGUCACACAUCAUCUCAGCUCGAAGAGCACUCGAAGAAAAGAAGAGAAGGAUGCAUCUGUUUGUGAAUGGCUAAAGUGCAUCGUAGGACUGUUCAUAUUUGUGAAUGCAGAUUAAGAUAGUAGCACUUGCAAGAUGAAUCCAUUAAACAGAAGUAAAGCUUAGAAACUAUGUUAAUGCUAUACUAAUGAGAAUUCCUUCUUGGUGCUCGCACUAUUGCUGCUGGGACAGAGAAAGGAAUGUGGGUCUCCUUGUAUGUCCCACCACUUGCCUAAGAGCUGGAACGUGGGAGUUCAGCAUGAAGUCUGUCGGGUUUGCAGUGCAGUUAGAAUUCACCAGAUGGGGCUAAUAGAGCAAAUAUAAAUAUUCUCUAUAGAAGUCAAGUCAUACUGAAGAAACCGUAUGUACUUACAUACAUGGCACAGCAGUUAUAACCUUCCAAAAGUCUGUUUUAAAAAAUGUUAAUCUUCAUAGUGAAUUCAUUAUUUACAACAGAUAUUUUAUUUUGAUAAUUUAAAAUAUUUGAUUUUUUUAAACAAAUUAACUAUUUCAACAAUUCACCACCACCAAUAUCUGACUCAGGAAAUAUGUAGGUUUCUUAUUUAUAUGUAUAUAUAUAUUAAUCUCUAAACUACUACGGAGCCACAAAUGUAAGAAGGGAAGUUCAAGCUUAUAAAUCCAUAUGGCUUUCCUUUAUGAUAUGGUGCAUGACUGAUUUUGUCUUCCAAGUCCAUCUCUCAGAUUCAGUUUCAUGUGGAGACUCUGAACAUACUUAGAUAUCACAGUAAAGUUUUAAUUAGCUGAUUAAAAAAAAAAAAAAUCCUGCAUGCACUGUAUCUCUGAAA